GAUGAAGAACGCAACAAAAUGCGAUAAGUAAUGUGAAUUGCAGAAUUCAGUGAAUCAUCGAAUCUUUGAACGCACAUUGCGCCCGCUGGUAUUCCGGCGGGCAUGCCUUUUCGAGCGUCAUUUCAACCCUCAAGCCCCCGGGUUUGGUGUUGGGGAUCGGCUCUGCCCUUCUGGGCGGUGCCGCCCCCGAAAUACAUUGGCGGUCUCGCUGCAGCCUCCAUUGCGUAGUAGCUAACACCUCGCAACUGGAACGCGGCGCGGCCAUGCCGUAAAACCCCAACUUCUGAAUGUUGACCUCGGAUCAGGUAGGAAUACCCGCUGAACUUAAGCAUAUCAAUAAGCGGAGGA
rnacentral:misc_RNA from 1 species